rnacentral:rRNA from 1 species
UACAGAGGGUGCAAGCAGUUGUUCGGAAUUAUUGGGCGUAAAGGCGCGUAGGCGGCCAGUUGCGUCCGCUGUGAAAUCCCAGGGCUCAACCCUGGGCUUGCAGUGGAUACGGGCUGGCUGGAGGCAGGCAGGGGAGAACGGAAUUCCCGGUGUAGCGGUGAAAUGCGCAGAUAGUCGGGAGGAACACCGGUGGCGAAGGCGGGUCUCUGGGCAGUAACUGACGCUGAGGAGCGAAGCGUGG